CUAGUAACGGCGAGUGAAGCGGCAACAGCUCAAAUUUGAAAUCUGGCCUCUGGCCCGAGUUGUAAUUUGUAGAGGAUGUUUUUGGCGCGGUGCCUUCCGAGUUCCCUGGAACGGGACGCCUUAGAGGGUGAGAGCCCCGUACGGUUGGACGCUAAGCCUCUGUAAAACUCCUUCGACGAGUCGAGUAGUUUGGGAAUGCUGCUCUAAAUGGGAGGUAAAUUUCUUCUAAAGCUAAAUACCGGCCAGAGACCGAUAGCGCACAAGUAGAGUGAUCGAAAGAUGAAAAGCACUUUGAAAAGAGGGUUAAAUAGCACGUGAAAUUGUUGAAAGGGAAGCGUUUGCGACCAGACCUUUUCCUGGCGGAUCAUCCGGUGUUCUCACCGGUGCACUUCGCCUGGUUUAGGCCAGCAUCGGUUUCCGUGAGGGGAUAAAAGCUUUGGGAAUGUGGCUCCCUCGGGAGUGUUAUAGCCCUUUGCAUAAUACCUUUAUGGGGACCGAGGACCGCGCUUUUGCAAGGAUGCUGGCAUAAUGGUCGUCAACGACCCGUCUUG
rnacentral:rRNA from 1 species